UUUUUCAUUUCAUCAAUAACAGUAGUAUUUUUAUUUAAAAGUUUUAACAAAGCCGUACACGAACAUUUUACAAUGGGUCAUAAGCUAAACCAGAAGGACAUCACAUGGACUUAAAGUUAGAUUACGGGCUCUGUGAUCGCGUAACAAAAUCCUGCUCCUGCGCCGCACAAUUUCACUGGUGGCAGUUGUAAAAGAGUUGGGGUGCAACUGGAAAAGUAAAUUAAUUUCCCAUGCUCGUUCCAUCCCCAGGUGUAGACCUCUCCUGCCGUAGUCCUCAGUAGACCGUGCUCGGCGCCCAUGUGAAUUCUGGCAGGACCCUGAUCCUCAGGAAGCUUCAGGCGAAGUGGCGUGGGUAUUGCCUGCUGUUCGCUGAACGAACCCAUUCCCAGCUGACCGUAGCAAUUGCGACCCCAUACGAGGAUCUCGUUGUUUUUGAGCACAGCUGCAUUGUGGGUCCAACCCACGGCCAACUGACGCACAUCCUCCUCAAACUGAAAGGCGUUGGACUGGCCAAACUUGUUGUCACCCAAGGUGAGCUUGUUUUAAUUACACCGAAAUCACGGCGCUAGAAAAUCGGAGCUACACAAAUGGGCAACUGGCGCUAACAGCAGGACAUUACAAAGCUGCAACGUUCGCCUGGCAUGCUAUGUGGCCAGGACCUCCUCGUCCUCCUGGAAAGUCAACCCCUCUCACGUGAAGAAUGCACUGUGGUCCGCAUUUGCAAUUCAAAAAUUGCCUGGCACACACAAAGGGUGAGCGCCCCUAAACGCUAGAAAUGAAAACUGAUGAUUUUCACUUGAUAUCCGCAAACGAAGAAAAGCCAUGCAAGAAAGACUGCUGCUCCACAUGCAAUCGAAGGUGCCCAAAGGUGAUGGAAGUGGAAAUCCGUUUGAAUUGCAAUAGCAGUCAAUUAAACCACAGGGAAUUAACAUGUUCGCCGUCAAAUUAGAAUCGGAAAAUCCAGAGGAAGAUGGGUAAAAAUAGACUACAAAUUUAAAUUGCAGGAUAUUCAAAAGUCGCCUUGGCAAACAUCCAUUUUUAGCGAGUCCAGUAUGAACUGUUAUCCAUUUCUUGGCGCGAAUAUGACGGCUUAUACGAGGACUUCCGCUGUACUGUGGUCAACUCGGAAAUAUAUGACGGGAAAUCCCCAUAAAGCUAUAAGCAAU
ensembl:ncRNA asRNA:CR44064 antisense RNA:CR44064